rnacentral:rRNA from 1 species
UUCGUAGGUGGCCUGCUAAGUCACACGUGAAAUCCCUCAGCUUAACUGGGGAACUGCGUGUGAGACUGGCGGGCUUGAGUGCAGGAGAGGAACGCGGAAUUCCAGGUGUAGCGGUGAAAUGCGUAGAUAUCUGGAGGAACACCGGUGGCGAAGGCGGCGUUCUGGACUGCUACUGACACUGAGGAACGAAAGCCAGGGGAGCAAACG